ensembl:lncRNA
AUGCUGAUGAUGAUGGGAGAGAAUCCUUCGAAUUUCCUGAUGUGGACCAAAGCUAUGUACCUUCCCGGGAGGAGAUCAAGAAGCAAAGUAUACGUUUUAUUGAUGCUAAAACCAGAAAUGUCAAGAAACCAAAGAAGAAAUAACUGUUUCUUCUUUAGCUCUGAUCCUAUCCUUAACCCCACAAGGCCCAGCAUGUCCAACUUUCCAGCUCACAGUGAACUGCCUCCUUUCAUGGUCAGUUUAUUACACAAAUAAAUUUUUUCCAGGACUAAAUGUAGCACAAGCCAUUCCUGUCCAGGCAGCAGUUCCUGGGUAGGAGAAAAAGAGACUUGAGUGGGAUCACCAUCUUAGAAGAGUGAGAACAGUAAUCCCUAAUGCCUCCUAUGAGCUCCACUUACGGGAAAGGACAGUUGAAGGCAGGACAGGAAAGGAGAAAGAGAGGUGGAGGUAGGAAUCAGGACACUUGGGAUCUUUCUGGCUCUGCCACUAAUUCAUUUGUAAUCAGUCUGUCUAACAUAAUCUGCUGGGCACUGUGCUAAAUGCUAGGGACACCAAAAGACAAAAGACAUUUCUUGCUCUAAGAUCACAGUCAAAUGAAGAAGGCACAUAUGCAAACAACUAUGUUCAAAGGAGAAAUUCGAGAUAAUCAAAUAGAGGAAGGCACUAGAAUUAAGGGGGACCAAGAAAGGCUUUCUGUAGAAGGUGGGAUUUUAGAAGGAAGUCGGGACAACUGAGAGGUGGAGACGCAGAGGAGAAGCAUUCAACCCAUGGGAGACAGCUUGCAAAAAUGCCCAUUCAGGAAAUAUAGCAUUCUGGGCCAUCAAAAGGGAGAAUGCAAGUAUUAUGGGUCAAAAAGACCAUAGAGGAGAAUUAAGGAAGAUAGGAAGAAGACAAGUUAUAAUGGGCUUAAACAGCCAAAGAAAAGAUUACCAAAUUUUCUAUUUGAUAGAGAGCCAUUGGAGUUUAUUUAGUGGAGGGAUUCCGGAUAGAGAUAGGGUUGACAUAAUUGCAUCAGAUUUUUAGGAAAGUGACAGAGCUGAGUGGAGGAAGGAUUGGAAUGGAGAGAUCUGAGGCAGGGCAGACUCAUCAGGAGGCUACUGAGUUGCAAAAGUAAAAUAAUAAGAUAGGGUAUUUUACCAGAAUAGUGGCAGUGUUGAAGGGGGGUAGGGGUAGGUCAGAAAAUUAUUACAGAUACAAUCAACAAACCUAACACUCUGGAUUGUGGGGUGAGGAGAGUGACCUUAGACAAGUCUCUCUGCAGCUUCCAGUUUCCUCCUCUAUAAUAUAUGGAGCUUAGAUUACAAGGUUUACAGCACCAAAAGAUUUGGUAUUAUUUCGCUUAGGUUCAAGUGCCUACUCUGCAACUUCUUAUCAGAGACUUUGGGUAGUCACUUCUGUGAUUAUCUCAUCACUUUACUACUGGACUAUUGUAACAGCCUCCUGGUGAGUUUUCCUAUAAACCUAGGUCUGACUAUGUCAACUUGUCCCACCCCUGACCUCCACAAGAUAAACUCCAGUGACUCCCUAUCAAAUAUAUAAUCUGAGUCUUAGUUUCAUUUUUAAAAUGACGAUAAUACACCUUCAACUAGUUGCUUCCCCAAGAUGGACAAGGAGAGCACUUUAUACAGGGUAAAACAUUGAAUGUUUAAUUCAACAUUUUGAUCUCAAGCUAUUAUUCCCAAACACUAAUCUCAUAAAAGAUUCUGAAUAAAUCCACAUCAAGCAAGCA